CCAAGUUUAGAAUCUGCAAGGGUUCUAACACCUGGUAUCAGAGCAGCGUUCUUGGCAUCUCACUGCCCUUCCACUGCCAUCCAUCAGCCCUCCACAACCGCCCAAAGCAAUUCCCACAAUUGCUUAAAAGAUCGUCGCCGAAUUCCGCCAUCAUCUUCACCACCGCGGAUCAUCCUUUGAUCUCCCCGUGAAUUGCAACAGGUUCUGGUUUCCUACCUUACUGCUGCUGCAAUUUAGUUAUCCUUAUUCGAAAAUCAAAAAAAAAAACUGUUCCUAUAUUGCUACAUAAACCUUUCGUCACAAAGUUUUCAUCUCUACGACGAAAGAUACAUUGCAGAAUUCCAG
rnacentral:lncRNA from 1 species